GCCGUCGUAGGCCAUCGAGGCCGCCUGCAACAUCUGAUCCGAUGCAACCAGAAGCAGCUGUAAGCGGGAGGGGGAGGUUCGAUUCCUCCCGACGGCA